AUGCUGCGCGCGAUAGCGUUUUUCAGUGCGUGCCCAAAACUUUUUAGCGCUACAGCAUCUGCUGGAGCUGUUGGGCGCCAAAAAUAUGAUUUUUUAGUGCACGGAGUUCUUUUUGGGCGCCUGUUGGAGAUGCUCUCAAAUAAGCGUAUAGAAGAAAGGGACUGGCUGGCCAUAUGCCAGUCGACCGAAAUCGCAAUUUGGGUCAGUCGGGUCAGCCAAACGUUGCGAUCUCUAUCUAACGGCCGUCAAGUCAUUUCCCAUCUUCAACCGUUUUCUUCGUCCUGGCGCAUCUUCUUCAACCUGGUCCCACGGACCACCAGCCGAACCGCCGGCCACCAUAGCCCGUGGGCGGCGCUCCCGUGCAGCCUCGCCACUCCGUCUUCCCCGGAACCUCCUCCCACUGUUGUGAUGCCGCCACCCUCCGACCAUCCCUCUAGUCCCGGCGUCGUCGGAGAUUUUCCUCAGCAAACCUGUACCACCUCCAUACUGCCGCCCCCACCGCCGCCAUGCUGCCGCCUGCAUCCCACACCCUAA
rnacentral:rRNA from 1 species